rnacentral:lncRNA from 1 species
UUCGAGGACCCCCUCUUCCCCGCCACUGACGACUCACUCUACUAUAAGGGCACGCCGGGGCCCGCCGUCAGGUGGAAGCGACCCAAGGGCAUCUGCGAGGACCCCCGCCUCUUUGUGGAUGGCAUCAGCUCCCACGACCUGCACCAGGGCCAGGUGGGCAACUGCUGGUUUGUGGCAGCCUGCUCGUCACUUGCCUCCCGGGAGUCGCUGUGGCAAAAGGUCAUCCCAGACUGGAAGGAGCAGGAAUGGGACCCCGAAAAGCCCAACGCCUACGCGGGCAUCUUCCACUUCCACUUCUGGCGCUUCGGGGAAUGGGUGGACGUGGUCAUCGAUGACCGGCUGCCCACAGUCAACAACCAGCUCAUCUACUGCCACUCCAACUCCCGCAAUGAGUUUUGGUGCGCCCUAGUGGAGAAGGCCUAUGCCAAGUAGGUGCCAGCAGCAGGCAGGUGGGUGGGAGGCCCAGACGGGGGUGGCACCGGAUGGGCUCCUCGUGGUAUUCCGUUAGCCAGGGCUUUAGGCACAGAGAAGUGAGGGGCUGG